GAUGAACGCUAGCUACAGGCUUAACACAUGCAAGUCGAGGGGAAACGACAUCGAAAGCUUGCUUUUGAUGGGCGUCGACCGGCGCACGGGUGAGUAACGCGUAUCCAACCUGCCCACCACUUCGGGAUAACCUUGCGAAAGUAAGACUAAUACCCAAUGACGUCUCUAGAAGACAUCUGAAGGAGAUUAAAGAUUUAUCGGUGAUGGAUGGGGAUGCGUCUGAUUAGCUUGUUGGCGGGGUGACGGCCCACCAAGGCGACGAUCAGUAGGGGUUCUGAGAGGAAGGUCCCCCACAUUGGAACUGAGACACGGUCCAAACUCCUACGGGAGGCAGCAGUGAGGAAUAUUGGUCAAUGGACGAGAGUCUGAACCAGCCAAGUAGCGUGCAGGAUGACGGCCCUAUGGGUUGUAAACUGCUUUUAUAAGGGAAUAAAGUGAGUCUCGUGAGACUUUUUGCAUGUACCUUAUGAAUAAGGACCGGCUAAUUCCGUGCCAGCAGCCGCCGUAA
rnacentral:rRNA from 1 species